rnacentral:rRNA from 1 species
CAUAAAUUUAUCCCCCGGGGAGGGCCGCAAGGUUAAAAUCAAAGAUUGGGGGCCCCCAAGGGUGAAGCAGUGGUUUAAUUGAAGCAACCGCGCAGAACCUUCCAGCGUUUGACAUGGUAGGACGACUUCCAGAGAUGGAUUUUUUCUCUUCGGGGACUACACACAGGGCAUGCAUGGCGUCAGUCAGCUCGUGUCGUGAGGUUGGGUUAAGUCCCGCAACGAGCCCCACCCUCGACUUUAGUUACCCUCAUUAAGUUGGGUACUUUAAAGUAACCCCCGGUCAUAAGCCGGAGGGAGGGGGGGAUGACGUCAAGUCCUCAUGCCCCUUACGCGCUGGGCUACCACGUGCACAAUGGCAAGUAAGUGGGCAGCUAUCCCGCGAGGGUGAGUAAUCUCCAGAACUAUGUCAGUUGGAUUGUUUUCUCAACCUCCACCAUAAAGCCGAAACCCUGUAUCCCAGAUUGGAGGCCCCCAA